rnacentral:rRNA from 1 species
UCUGGCCCAAUAUGGGGGACGAACUCGGGGAAACUCGAGCUAAUACCGCAUACGCCCUACGGGGGAAAGGCAGGGGAGUCUUCGGACCUUGCGCUAUUGGAUGAGCCUAAGUCGGAUUAGCUUGUUGGUGAGGUAAAAGCUCACCAAGGCGACGAUCCGUAGCUGGUCUGAGAGAACGAUCAGCCACACUGGGACUGAGACACGGCCCAG